rnacentral:misc_RNA from 1 species
UGAUGUUCCUGGGAUCGAGAAUGUUGACGUUACUGAUCUCAUCGACGGACACUCCUCGUACCUGUGGGCUGUACAACAAAUCCUGGCACAACUCGAGCUCGAUACCUACUACCCUGUUUAUUCGACUGCACCGAAUCUGGAAAAAUUAAAACUUGAAGUUUGAUAAUUACGGAGCUUAUACUGAAUUUAUCAUCCAAAGAACUCAGCUAUA